GACAGAGGGUGCAAACGUUGUUCGGAAUUACUGGGCGUAAAGCGAGUGUAGGCGGUUUGGUAAGUCGGAUGUGAAAGCCCCGGGCUCAACCCGGGAAGUGCACUCGAUACUACCAAGCUAGAGUAUCGGAGAGGUUGGUGGAAUUCUCGGUGUAGAGGUGAAAUUCGUAGAUAUCGAGAGGAACACCGGUGGCGAAGGCGGCCAACUGGACGAAUACUGACGCUGAGACUCGAAAGCGUGGGGAGCAAACAGG
rnacentral:rRNA from 1 species